rnacentral:rRNA from 1 species
CCAAUAGCGUAUAUUAAAGUUGUUGCAGUUAAAAAGCUCGUAGUUGAAUUUCGGGAUUGACGUGACGGUCAUGCCUUAAGGGGUAUGAACUGUUACAGUUGAUUUCUCACCUUCUGGAGAAACUUGAUGUCCUUUAUUGGGUGUCUUGCGGAUCCAGGACCUUUACCUUGAAAAAAUUAGAGUGUUUAAAGCAGGCAUUUUUGCUCGAAUACAUUAGCAUGGAAUAAUAGAAUAGGACGGCAUGGUUCUAUUUUGUUGGUUUCUAGGAUCACCGUAAUGAUUAAUAGGGAUAGUUGGGGGCAUUAGUAUUCAAUUGUCAGAGGUGAAAUUCUUGGAUUUAUUGAAGACUAACUACUGCGAAAACAUUUGCCAAGGAUGUUUUCAUUAAUCAAGAACGAAAGUUAGGGGAUCGAAGACGAUCAGAUACCGUCGUAGUCUUAACCAUAAACUAUGCCGACUAGGAAUCAGACGAUGUUAAUUUUUUAAUGACUCGUUUGGCACCUUACG